AUGGGGAGUGCUACCACCCUAUGGUUGUGAUGUCCCUCUUGUGGUCCCUUGAGUAGUUCUUGUCAUUCAACGAGGAGGCAUAAUAACUGUUGGAUGUACACCCUAGAAGUCAAUCUUGGCUGACACAUAUCAUAUCUCUAGGAUAUGAUUUUAUACUUUAUAGGUAUUUAUAUUACCAUUCAUAUUUUAUGUGUCCAUAAAUCAUCCA
rnacentral:lncRNA from 1 species